rnacentral:rRNA from 1 species
GACGAACGCUGGCGGCGUGCUUAACACAUGCAAGUCGAACGCUGAAGCUCAGCUUUUGUUGGGUGGAUGAGUGGUGAACGGGUGAGUAACACGUGAGUAACCUGCCCCCUUCUUUGGGAUAGCGCCCGGAAACGGGUGCUAAUACUGGAUAUUCACUGGUCUUCGCAUGGGGGUUGGUGGAAAGGGUUUUUCUGGUGGGGGAUGGGCUCGCGGCCUAUCAGCUUGUUGGUGGGGUGAUGGCCUACCAAGGCUUUGACGGGUAGCCGGCCUGAGAGGGUGACCGGUCACAUUGGGACUGAGAUACGGCCCAGACUCCUACGGGAGGCAGCAGUGGGGAAUAUUGCACAAUGGGCGCAAGCCUGAUGCAGCGACGCCGCGUGAGGGAUGGAGGCCUUCGGGUUGUGAACCUCUUUCGCUCAUGGUCAAGCCGCAACAAUGGUUGUGGUGAGGGUAGUGGGUAAAGAAGCGCCGGCUAACUACGUG